rnacentral:rRNA from 1 species
UACAGAGGGUGCGAGCGUUAAUCGGAAUUACUGGGCGUAAAGCGUGCGUAGACGGUUAUUUAAGUCGGAUGUGAAAGCCCCGGGCUCAACCUGGGAAUUGCAUUCGGGACUGAAUAGCUAGGGUACGGUAGAGGGAAGCGGAAUUUCCGGUGUAGCGGUGAAAUGCGUAGAUAUCGGAAGGAACAUCAGUGGCGAAAGCGGCUUCCUGGACCAGUACCGACGUUCAGGCACGAAAGCGUGGGGAGCAAACAGG